AAAAAUCAUAAACGCGCCUCGUAUACCAACACUGCAGGUACACGUAUAUAGGGAAACCAAAUUUUUCUUCAUUAUUCUGAUUUUUUAUGUAUCGUCUGAGUUGUUGUCACACGAAUGUUUACUCCAUAAACAUUUUGUUUUCUAUAUGUCAUAUUUUGCCGCAUUUGUUGCUUUCCCCACAUCCUUCCUUUAGUCUAUAUUAUUAUGAUAUUCUCCUGGAAAGAGCUCUUUUUGAAUAAAAGGGAUCAACGAACCCAUUACCUUACCUUUAAGAUAGAUCAGUAAACAUGGGCAUAAUUAUGGGUGAUUAUUCAGACUAGUGCAAACAUUUUACAGUUCAAACAAGGCAAUGCCGAGCGUGGCAUCCCCUCGUAUGUAACAUAUUGGGGACAAAUAUGGACACUAUACAUUUAUUUCCCGUGCCUGAGGGAGAUAUGAAGAUUUGUUCACCCAAGAAUAAUCAUAUUUCACGAGGGCUCUGCCCGAGGGAAAUAUGAUUUUUCGAGGGUGAACAAAUCUUCAUAUCUCCAGAGGCCAAGGGAAAUGAAUGUUUUAUUCCACUGCCUAAGCUUUGUAUACUAUCUGAACUUCAAAUAUUAGUUUGCAUACCGGAAUUAUUACUAAACAC
rnacentral:lncRNA from 1 species